GUAUUAGGUUGGUGCAAAAGUAAUUGCGUUUUUGCCAUCACUUUUAAGUGGCAAAAACUGCAAUUACUUUUGCACCAACCUAAUAAAUU
rnacentral:miRNA from 1 species